rnacentral:rRNA from 1 species
UACAGAGGGGGCAAGCGUUAUUCGGAAUUAUUGGGCGUAAAGGGCGCGUAGGCGGCUUUGCAAGUGACGGGUGAAAUCCCUCGGCUUAACCGAGGAACUGCCUGUCAGACUGCAUGGCUUGGGACCAGGAGAGGUGAGUGGAAUUCCCAGUGUAGCGGUGAAAUGCGUAGAUAUUGGGAGGAACACCAGUGGCGAAGGCGGCUCACUGGACUGGUACUGACGCUGAGGCGCGAAAGCGUGGGGAGCAAACAGG